GAGAGAGAGAGAGAGAGAGAGAUCUUGCUGCAACUGAAAACUCCAUUGUUUCGAUUCCUGCUUGCAAAGAAAUCGACCAGAUUCCGAAAAUUAUAAAAGUUGGAAAGAUUAUAAUGUUGAAAGAAUCGCAAUCUCCUUUUACUGCCGUCCAAUGGAAAUCUAACAUUCUCAUCGGACGGCCCACGUUCAACGAUUCUUGCUCUCUGCAUUUCUGAGAUAGUAUUCGGCGUUCGAUUUCUCGAUGGAAGUUUCGGUGUGAAAAUUAUCAUACUCGUAACGGAAUGGAGUUCAUCCCUUAGAUUUUGCAAGCUGUCUUCUGUCACUAGAUCAGACAUGAAUAUGAAUAAUGGCAUAAUUAUAAGCUAGUGUUCUCUGGCGGCAUGCAUAGAGAGCCAAUGGCAUGGAUAGAGCCCGCAUAGAUGCUUUAGGCCAUUGGCUUUCCAUACAAUUGUCAAGACUCAAGAUAUACAACAUAAGAGUUGCUUCUGCAUCAGUUGAUUUUUGCAGCUAACCUUUUUUUCUGAGUCUUGUGGGAGUUUUUGUUCAUUUUACUAUCUUUCUGGUGGGAUCCAAUGUCUGUGCUACUUGGAUUGUCAUGUUUUUUCUUAUGUCUCUGAUCUACAGGUUAAAGUGCAUGUGAAAACAAGCAUUCCAUAAUCUAUAUCAUGUAUAAACAGGGGUUUUGAACCAUUUUUUUCAGUUUUCU